GCCCCACCCCAGGCUAGCCCUCCAGCCCCCCAGCGCGGGAAGGCGGGUGGCGCGUGGCCCCAGCCCCCCAGCGCGGGAAGGCGGGAAGGUGGUGUGGUCGCAGUCCACAUAGCCCUGGCCAGAGCACAGGGGGACUGGAGGUCAGAGCCACACGCACUUAGAGUGGUGAUAAGGAGGGGGCCUGGGCAUGGCAGAGUGAGGGUUGGGCCAUGCCUGGCUGUUUGGGGACAUACAGCUUCCCCCAGCCUAUGGGACCCACCACCCAUGAAUUUCAUUAUUUCCAAGAGUCAAGUGGCAGACAAAGCCAGGCAAAAUCUGUGUUAAGAAUAACUUAAUGGAGGGCUGCAUGGCCCAGAGGAGAUAUGAAGAGGGGAGACAAAAUCUUCUCUUUCAGGUCACCAAGUCAGCUCUGACCCCAAGUAGGUAGCUACCAAAAGUCAUACUUGCAGGUUGUAUUGUAUGAAAUGAGUUGAUGGUCUCGGUCCAGUUCCCAGUGGAUUGGUUUGUAGCUAUCUGAACAGCAAGGCCAAAAAGUAAAUGGAGGCUGAACCACCAAUCAACAGAUUCCUGCAAAUCAGGGUGAGGUAGUAAAACAGAGCAAGUUGGUGCAGCAGCUGUUCAUGUUAUAAUAUGAAUAAAGUAGCUGCA